UAUAUAUUCAUAAUGCACCAAAUAAUAAUGUAUGUAUAUGUGUGUGUGUGUAUGUAUGUAUAUAUGUGUAUAUAUAUAUAUACACACAUAUACAUACAUUAUUAUUUGGUGCAUUACGAAUUUAAA